rnacentral:rRNA from 1 species
UACGUAGGGGGCAAGCGUUGUCCGGAUUCAUUGGGCGUAAAGAGCGUGUAGGCGGCCAGGUAGGUCGGUUGUGAAAACUGGAGGCUCAACCUUCAGAGGUCGACCGAAACCAUCUGGCUAGAGUCCGGGAGAGGUGAGUGGAAUUCCGAGUGUAGAGGUGAAAUUCGUAGAUAUUCGGAAGAACACCAGUGGCGAAGGCGGCUCACUGGCCCGGUACUGACGCUGAGGUGCGAAAGCGUGGGGAGCAAACAGG